ACGCUCGACACCUACGGGAGGCAGCAGUGGGGAAUAUUGCACAAUGGGGGAAACCCUGAUGCAGCGACGCCGCGUGAGCGAAGAAGUAUUUCGGUAUGUAAAGCUCUAUCAGCAGGGAANAAACUGACGGUACCUGACUAAGAAGCACCGGCUAAAUACGUGGCAGCAGCCGCGGUAAUCUGAGCGGGCUGGCAAGGC
rnacentral:rRNA from 1 species